UGGGCCGAACCAAACGAAAUGAAACGAAGCUGCUCGUCCUGCGUCCUUCGUCCUUCGUCGCAGGAUCCCUAUUCCUGCGUGGGUGCGUCGCUUGAGUGGCUCCUGAUUCCGACAGUAAUAACGUCUUGGCCGCCCCACAUGGCAGCCAAGGAAAAUUUAUUUAAAUUGCAAAAUGCGAAAUGCGAAAUGCACCAGCCCAAACCAAAGAUGGCAACUAUUCGUCAAAGGAACGGCAAAAAAAUGCAAUUUCCUUGUGGCCAAACACUUUUAGCCCUUUACAUCGCGGCUCAACUCCAAAGCCAAUAAGAUAUCAUGGCGAAAAAUUUGAAUAAUAAAGUUUUAUUCCAAAAAUAAGUGAGUAAAUAGAAAAAAUUGAAUAGCCAUAUGCACAGCGAGAAAUCGCGCUUUCCUUAUAUUGUUAAAAUGUAUUAAGUUUUCUUUUUAUUUUAAUAAGAAAAUAUCUAAUAGUAAAAUGGUAAGUGCUAUGGAAUAUGGAAAUGUAUGACUUAACUCCAAUAUCUUUGUAUAUAUUAUGAAACUCUUGCCUUUCAAACUUGAGUACUAUCGUUUGGAUAACUCUGGUUUGUAGUUGGCCACUAAAGCUGAAAUUAAAUUAUGUAUUCAUAAAAAAGCGCGAAAUGAGUAGUCUCGCAGCUCCAGCGGGAUUCUGUUGGAAUAUGAGUGCCUGGAGAGUUGCGAAAACGUGGAAAACUGAACUGAAAAGGAAAGGAUGCUGAGGUGGUGAUGGUGGAGGUGCCCCAGAGGAUUGGGUGGCAGCAACAAAGCGCAGCAAUUAGUGGCGCCCAAGAGCGAAAACUCAUUCGCGUUCCUGCAAUGCGGCUUCUCUAUUCUUUGGCCUGACCUCGUCGCAUGGCCACAGGACGACAUCCUGGGCGUGGGCGCCCAUUUAUCGCCAGCCAACGGCUGUCCUCACAUAGAGGAAACCGCAUCCCCACCAGAGCCGCCCACCCGCAUCCGAAACCAAAUCCGAAUCCGAAUCCGUAUCCAAACCGCUUCAUAUCUCCCGCGGGGCAGAGCAGCUGGCAAGCGUUUCCAUUUAUCAUAAACAAUGCAGACCGUGAUUGGUGUAGGUCGCGACCCUGGCCCCAAAAAUCCAGCAAAAGGGUUAGCUAAUGGGGCCGCUUGUUUCUGGUGGAUAAUAAGGAGUAGUCGCGUGGGGAAUUACCGCCAGGCACUUACUUUACAGUAGCUUAAAAGCAAUCUUUAAAGCUUCGGUGGAUGUGUAGAAAAUAUUUCUUAAAAGAGCAUAGUUUUAUAGAACACUUCUACUUGUUUUUGUAAAUAAGCUUAUUAGGGAAUUGGGGUUCUGAGCAGCUCGAGAAAAACAACUAAUUAAAUUGACUGCACGCAAACAACGCAGGGCAAAACUUUUAGGGCAUUGAAACUUUUAAUUGCAGCCACUUUAUUAAAAGGGAUAAGUCGAUGUUAUCCGCUCAAGAAAACCCCAACGGAAUUGCGAAUUAGCGCCAAUUGCAACUACUUAUUGAAGAACUACUUCUUGGACUGUGGGCUAUACAAUCACAGCCUGUUGCACAGCGAAAAGUGAAAUGAAAACCAAAUCAGAACCUUUCCAAUUUGACCACCAAAUAAGAUUGCAAGUGGCAAGGGCACGAUUCGAACUUUCUGGACAAUGGCGAUGAUGGCAUUCGAGUGUUGAUGUCAUAAUUUCCGAGGUGUUCAGUGGGUUGGCCACAUCGCAUGCCGCCACUUCAUUUGUUAACAGCAACAGGACAUAAUUAAAACUGCUUAUGCACGCUUCCGUUUCCGGUUGGCAUUUUAUUUCACUGGAUUCCCUUCGUAUGCUUUCCACUUUUACAACUUGAUACAUUUUCGUUGGAACUCGACUUUGGUUUACAAGCUUUUUAUCUUUGCAUCGAACCGUGCAAUUCGGAAAUCGUACUUUUCUCUCCUUUUUUUUGCAGUCUGUUUUGCCAUGGUCAUAAAUUUAGUUUUGCCAAAAUACGAAAAAACGCAACAACAUUUUUUUGGGUCAACUGCUUUUCUGCUGUUGUGGACUUUCGCCCACAAAAUGACCUUUAAUUAGUUGAAAUUUUCGCUUGGCAUGCUAAUUGAAAAACUUUUUGCUGCUCCACCACAUUGAUGAACUAUUUUACGGUGGUUGUGCAGUAAAACUGUGUCAGACAAUCCUAUCCAGACGUAUCCAGUUGAAACUACACAGUCACAAUGGAAUCCGAGUCGGUAAACGGUGGACUUCUGUGUUUACUCUGGUGUAAUUAAGCUUUAUUACGUAUACGCACCGUUCAACGCACUUUGCCGCCGUUGCCCGUAGCCAAUUAGUUUGUAUAGCUACCAAGGACGCUGGAAUACCUAUUCCAGUUAGCUGCGGUGCCGCCAAUAAACAUAAAACUUUAUCGUUGGCUAUAUCUGCAGCUUCUGGGCAAAUCAAUCGCAACACAUACGCUUGCAAAUGCCAGAGACUCGAUUUGCUGGGCAGUCGGAACAUAAAGAGAACUGCUUGCACAAUUGCGAAAAGGAUCCCACACACACACAGUUCGUGGGGAUUAUUCUGCACUACAGCAUAUGUGUGUGUGGCACCGGCGAAGGUAUUUUAUGGCUAUGUAUAAUGGCUGAUUGGGGGAUUCGACUGGCUUAAACUCGAGUAUAUAUAAAUUUCAAUUGACGUGCUAAACUACUUUUCUAUGGUUGUACGUAAUAUAUAGGUAACUGAGUUUAAACGUGAAAAUAUUAGAUGGCACACAAGUUUGAAGCCCUUUAAAGUAGUUGAAUUUAGGAAGUUGUAGUUUCUAGUUAUAGAAAUGUAUUUAAGUGCGCCUUAUUGUAUUUACGAUAACUGAAAUAAACGCAAUACUAAAUAUAUUCAUAUUAAUACUACAUAUUUCAUUUCUAUGAUCCCUCGGACUUGAACAAUUGCCAGGCCGAUCAUCUCUAGAAUGCUAAACAGAUGAAAUCAAUUUGGCAGGCAAACAAUGCCAAAGUACGUAAUCUUUUCCAGCAAUCACUUGCACUUGACUGCCAUCGCCGUUCAAGCAGCCUCAGGUCAAUGAGCCAACUGAGCACGGAUGCUGAGCCCCAAAGAAGGAAAACGAAGCAGCUCGAAGAACUAUGGCAGCAAUUUGUGAGUGUCUUCCGUGAUGCACGUGCCACAGGAAUUGGGUAGCAAGUGCGGCAUGGCAUCGUCACCAUUACCAUCAACAGCAAUCAGCUUCUGAGAGGCGUGACAAAUACAAAAUAUCGUUGCAUACUUCUAGGUGGCUAGUGAAAAUAUUUACUCCGCAUUGCGUAUACGCCACGAUGGCUACGAAACGUGACUCAAUGUGCGCUCUGAAUAAUAAAACCAUAUUUAUGUGCCUUUGGCAAGAACAAUGCCAUGUAUAAAUCAUGCAGCUGAUUAACAUGCGAAAUCUGCGAGUCCCUCUAAAAUGCCAACAAAUGCCAAAGACAAGGAAAACUUUGUUGAGAUUUACCACUGGCAAAGCAAACAAAGCUGCUUUUAGUUCGGAUAACUAGCAUAAUCAGCUUAAAUUCGCUUUGUGUGAAAAGAGCACGGAACAGAAAAUAGAAAACAGAAAACAGAAAACAUUCUAUAAACUAGAUUUUGUGACACCAUCCACCACAGAAUAAAGAAUUGCAUUUUUAAAUAUUAAA